UAAAUCUGUGCAGUUGGCAGUUAAGGAAACCUAAAGUCGUAUAAUAUUGGAAUUGGAAUCAAAAUCAUAAUAGAACAACGGGGGUCAAGUGAAAGCUCGUGAAAGCUUUGUAGGGUGCUCUCAGGCCACGCGGAGACGGAGACGACAAUGCCCGACAUUAUGACAUCGGGAAGCGACAAGCGAAACGCAACCGGGUCCAUAAUUACAACAAUUUGUUGCCUAGUGUUUGGGCUACAGAAGCAGCAACAACAACAACAACAUGGUCUUUAUUGUCAUGCUUGAAUGAUGCAACUGGAAAAGACCAAAACGUAUAAUGUCGGGAGGGCGGCGAGAUUGUCACGCACGCACAUCCAAAAGCCAUUCACAUUCACAUCCAUUUGAAUGUGGCAAGGUGGGAAAACGUUGCCCCACUACAGAGCGAGAGGGGGAGGAGGGUGUGCGCCCAGUACAGUUGCCGCAACAGACAGACGACAGAGUCGACCGCAAGUAACUGAUGCAAGGCAAAAUGUUGAGCAAAAUGUUGUCCGAAGGGCAAGAGUCGAGCGUGCUUGACUACCAGAUGCCCUGUGAACCGUAAGUCAACGGAAAUACCAGGCAUCCGAAACUAUUCCCAACAGCCAGUUUAUGUCCAUUCAUCUCGAAGCCCCAAAUUUGACAUCUUUAGCUCAUAUAGAACCCGAGCUUCAUGAGGUUGGAACGGUAUAUGUACGGACUAGAAUAUGAAAAACGCAGCUAUAUACCAAAUUGUGCCAACUUUAGCUCUUGCAGAGCCCGAGUUCCAUGAGGUCAGAAACGAGAUAUGUAUG